rnacentral:rRNA from 1 species
AACGAACGCUGGCGGCAUGCCUAACACAUGCAAGUCGAACGAGACCUUCGGGUCUAGUGGCGCACGGGUGCGUAACGCGUGGGAACCUGCCCUUAGGUUCGGAAUAACUCCCCGAAAGGGGUGCUAAUACCGGAUAAUGUCUUCGGACCAAAGAUUUAUCGCCUUUGGAUGGGCCCGCGUUGGAUUAGCUAGUUGGUAGGGUAAAAGCCUACCAAGGCGACGAUCCAUAGCUGGUCUGAGAGGAUGAUCAGCCACACUGGGACUGAGACACGGCCCAGACUCCUACGGGAGGCAGUAGUGGGGAAUAUUGGACAAUGGGCGAAAGCCUGAUCCAGCAAUGCCGCGUGAGUGAUGAAGGCCUUAGGGUUGUAAAGCUCUUUUACCCGGGAUGAUAAUGACAGUACCGGGAGAAUAAGCACCGGCUAACUCCGUG